CAUAGGGGUGAGAAAUGGACUUUGGCGUGCCUUAAAAGUCGUCAGUCUUUUUCUCUCUCCUAUA
rnacentral:pre_miRNA from 1 species